AGGCUCCAACCAUCCGAAGGGUGAUCGAAGAGAUUACUCAAGAUGAGCCCAAUAAGGUAUCUUCUCGACAGAAUCAAUAGAUCUGGAUGAGUCAGAUGAACAACCGACUACCAAAAAUAUCUUGGACCUCUUGUUGAGAGGUCCGAGUUGAUAGAGUCAGCCGUUGACUGACUAAGGAGAUAUUAUCAUAUUCCUAGUCAGUAUCGAUUGAUAGCGCCCAAUGAAGGAGGUCGGGUUGUUCGUCCUUCUGAUGGCUAUAUUGUCAUCUAUGAGAAGUUUCUUCGAUCAGGACUCCAAUUUUCUCUAUACCCCUUUUUCACCAAUAUCCUCGACCUGUACA
rnacentral:lncRNA from 1 species